rnacentral:rRNA from 1 species
AGAGUUUGAUCCUGGCUCAGGACGAACGCUGGCGGCGUGCUUAACACAUGCAAGUCGAACGAUGAAGCUUCGGGGUGGAUUAGUGGCGAACGGGUGAGUAACACGUGGGCAAUCUGCCUGCACUCUGGGACAAGCCCUGGAAACGGGGUCUAAUACCGGAUACGACCGUCUCGGGCAUCCGAGAUGGUGGAAAGCUCCGG